rnacentral:piRNA from 1 species
UGUGCAUGUCAGUCUUUGAGCAAGAUUAGC